rnacentral:rRNA from 1 species
UUAAGCGACUAAGCGUACACGGUGGAUGCCCUGGCAGUCAGAGGCGAUGAAGGACGUGCUAAUCUGCGAUAAGCGUCGGUAAGGUGAUAUGAACCGUUAUAACCGGCGAUUUCCGAAUGGGGAAACCCAGUGUGUUUCGACACACUAUCAUUAACUGAAUCCAUAGGUUAAUGAGGCGAACCGGGGGAACUGAAACAUCUAAGUACCCCGAGGAAAAGAAAUCAACCGAGAUUCCCCCAGUAGCGGCGAGCGAACGGGGAGCAGCCCAGAGCCUGAAUCAGUGUGUGUGUUAGUGGAAGCGUCUGGAAAGGCGCGCGAUACAGGGUGACAGCCCCGUACACAAAAAUGCACAUGCUGUGAGCUCGAUGAGUAGGGCGGGACACGUGGUAUCCUGUCUGAAUAUGGGGGGACCAUCCUCCAAGGCUAAAUACUCCUGACUGACCGAUAGUGAACCAGUACCGUGAGGGAAAGGCGAAAAGAACCCCGGCGAGGGGAGUGAAAAAGAACCUGAAACCGUGUACGUACAAGCAGUGGGAGCACGCUUAGGCGUGUGACUGCGUACCUUUUGUAUAAUGGGUCAGCGACUUAUAUUCUGUAGCAAGGUUAACCGAAUAGGGGAGCCGAAGGGAAACCGAGUCUUAACUGGGCGUUAAGUUGCAGGGUAUAGACCCGAAACCCGGUGAUCUAGCCAUGGGCAGGUUGAAGGUUGGGUAACACUAACUGGAGGACCGAACCGACUAAUGUUGAAAAAUUAGCGGAUGACUUGUGGCUGGGGGUGAAAGGCCAAUCAAACCGGGAGAUAGCUGGUUCUCCCCGAAAGCUAUUUAGGUAGCGCCUCGUGAAUUCAUCUCCGGGGGUAGAGCACUGUUUCGGCAAGGGGGUCAUCCCGACUUACCAACCCGAUGCAAACUGCGAAUACCGGAGAAUGUUAUCACGGGAGACACACGGCGGGUGCUAACGUCCGUCGUGAAGAGGGAAACAACCCAGACCGCCAGCUAAGGUCCCAAAGUCAUGGUUAAGUGGGAAACGAUGUGGGAAGGCCCAGACAGCCAGGAUGUUGGCUUAGAAGCAGCCAUCAUUUAAAGAAAGCGUAAUAGCUCACUGGUCGAGUCGGCCUGCGCGGAAGAUGUAACGGGGCUAAACCAUGCACCGAAGCUGCGGCAGCGACACUAUGUGUUGUUGGGUAGGGGAGCGUUCUGUAAGCCUGUGAAGGUGUACUGUGAGGUAUGCUGGAGGUAUCAGAAGUGCGAAUGCUGACAUAAGUAACGAUAAAGCGGGUGAAAAGCCCGCUCGCCGGAAGACCAAGGGUUCCUGUCCAACGUUAAUCGGGGCAGGGUGAGUCGACCCCUAAGGCGAGGCCGAAAGGCGUAGUCGAUGGGAAACAGGUUAAUAUUCCUGUACUUGGUGUUACUGCGAAGGGGGGACGGAGAAGGCUAUGUUGGCCGGGCGACGGUUGUCCCGGUUUAAGCGUGUAGGCUGGUUUUCCAGGCAAAUCCGGAAAAUCAAGGCUGAGGCGUGAUGACGAGGCACUACGGUGCUGAAGCAACAAAUGCCCUGCUUCCAGGAAAAGCCUCUAAGCAUCAGGUAACAUCAAAUCGUACCCCAAACCGACACAGGUGGUCAGGUAGAGAAUACCAAGGCGCUUGAGAGAACUCGGGUGAAGGAACUAGGCAAAAUGGUGCCGUAACUUCGGGAGAAGGCACGCUGAUAUGUAGGUGAAGUCCCUCGCGGAUGGAGCUGAAAUCAGUCGAAGAUACCAGCUGGCUGCAACUGUUUAUUAAAAACACAGCACUGUGCAAACACGAAAGUGGACGUAUACGGUGUGACGCCUGCCCGGUGCCGGAAGGUUAAUUGAUGGGGUCAGCGCAAGCGAAGCUCUUGAUCGAAGCCCCGGUAAACGGCGGCCGUAACUAUAACGGUCCUAAGGUAGCGAAAUUCCUUGUCGGGUAAGUUCCGACCUGCACGAAUGGCGUAAUGAUGGCCAGGCUGUCUCCACCCGAGACUCAGUGAAAUUGAACUCGCUGUGAAGAUGCAGUGUACCCGCGGCAAGACGGAAAGACCCCGUGAACCUUUACUAUAGCUUGACACUGAACAUUGAGCCUUGAUGUGUAGGAUAGGUGGGAGGCUUUGAAGUGUGGACGCCAGUCUGCAUGGAGCCGACCUUGAAAUACCACCCUUUAAUGUUUGAUGUUCUAACGUUGACCCGUAAUCCGGGUUGCGGACAGUGUCUGGUGGGUAGUUUGACUGGGGCGGUCUCCUCCUAAAGAGUAACGGAGGAGCACGAAGGUUGGCUAAUCCUGGUCGGACAUCAGGAGGUUAGUGCAAUGGCAUAAGCCAGCUUGACUGCGAGCGUGACGGCGCGAGCAGGUGCGAAAGCAGGUCAUAGUGAUCCGGUGGUUCUGAAUGGAAGGGCCAUCGCUCAACGGAUAAAAGGUACUCCGGGGAUAACAGGCUGAUACCGCCCAAGAGUUCAUAUCGACGGCGGUGUUUGGCACCUCGAUGUCGGCUCAUCACAUCCUGGGGCUGAAGUAGGUCCCAAGGGUAUGGCUGUUCGCCAUUUAAAGUGGUACGCGAGCUGGGUUUAGAACGUCGUGAGACAGUUCGGUCCCUAUCUGCCGUGGGCGCUGGAGAACUGAGGGGGGCUGCUCCUAGUACGAGAGGACCGGAGUGGACGCAUCACUGGUGUUCGGGUUGUCAUGCCAAUGGCACUGCCCGGUAGCUAAAUGCGGAAGAGAUAAGUGCUGAAAGCAUCUAAGCACGAAACUUGCCCCGAGAUGAGUUCUCCCUGACUCCUUGAGAGUCCUGAAGGAACGUUGAAGACGACGACGUUGAUAGGCCGGGUGUGUAAGCGCAGCGAUGCGUUGAGCUAACCGGUACUAAUGAACCGUGAGGCUUAACCUU